ensembl:snRNA U1 U1 spliceosomal RNA
AUACUUAACUUGGCAGAGGAGAUGCCAUGAUCACGAAGGUGGUUUUCCUGGGGCCAGGCAUGCCAUUGCACUCCAGAUAUGCUGGCCCCUGUGAUUUCCCCAAAUGCGGACACGCAACUGCAUAAUCGAGUAGUGGGGGCUGCAUUUGUUCUCUCCCCUG